rnacentral:other from 1 species
CCUGCGUUGUGCGUGAUAUUUAGGAAAUUUUAACCUAACAUUCAUUAAAUGGGAAUCCUGUUCAAGGAUACGGUGUGCAAGCCCUUUAAAAAGGGACGCCUAAAGUAUCCAUCAGGGUACCCACUUGGUUUACCCGGGUAAAAAUUUCCUUUCUACACGGCAACAGUGGGGCAACA